rnacentral:lncRNA from 1 species
CUGUGACUAAUGUUUGCUUCAUAGGUGGUUAUUGUCUUUUUGAUUUGUUAAUGCCACCAUAGUGGAUGAAAUAUUAUUUCAAAAAAAUAAUCUUAAAUGAGAGAAAGAUAAGGAGACGAGAGAGAGAGAGAAAGUCAAAUACAAUAAAUGAAAGAGAAUAACAUAUAUGUAAAAUAAAAACCCAAAUAUGAGGAAGGAAAGAGAAUAACAUAUAUGUAAAAUGGAG